GCUGGCGGCGUGCUUAAUACAUGCAAGUCGAACGCUCUCGACCUUCGGGUCACUGAGAGAGUGGCGAACGGGUGCGUAACACGUGAGAAACCUACCCUGAAGACGGGAAUAGCCCGAGGAAACUCGGAUUAAUACCCGAUAUCUCCACACUGUCGCAUGACAGAGUGAAGAAAGUUCAGGCGCUUCGGGAGGGUCUCGCGGCCUAUCAGCUUGUUGGUGAGGUAACGGCUCACCAAGGCAUCGACGGGUAGCUGGUCUGAGAGGAUGAUCAGCCACACUGGGACUGAGACACGGCCCAGACUCCUACGGGAGGCAGCAGUAGGGAAUCUUGCGCAAUGGGCGAAAGCCUGACGCAGCAACGCCGCGUGGGGGAUGAAUGCCUUCGGGUUGUAAACCCCUUUCAGCAGGGACGAAAUUGACGGUACCUGCAGAAGAAGGUCCGGCCAACUACGUGCCAGCAGCCGCGGUAAUACGUAGGGACCAAGCGUUGUCCGGAAUUAUUGGGCGUAAAGAGCUCGUAGGCGGUUCAGUAAGUCGGGUGUGAAAACUCAAGGCUCAACCUUGAGACGCCACUCGAUACUGCUGUGACUUGAGUCCGGUAGAGGAGUGUGGAAUUCCUGGUGUAGCGGUGAAAUGCGCAGAUAUCAGGAGGAACACCAGCGGCGAAGGCGGCACUCUGGGCCGGUACUGACGCUGAGGAGCGAAAGCAUGGGGAGCAAACAGGAUUAGAUACCCUGGUAGUCCAUGCCGUAAACGUUGGGCACUAGGUAUGGGACCAUAUCAACGGGUUCCGUGCCGUAGCUAACGCAUUAAGUGCCCCGCCUGGGGAG
rnacentral:rRNA from 1 species